AUCUUGUUCCAACCCCCUGCCAGGGGGCAGUGGUGCCAACCACUACAUCGGGCCGCAGCUCAGGCCUGUUCCUCUCAGCCCGGCAGGAGCCUGCCUGCAGCAGGUUUGGCAGAGGAUCCCGGGUGCCCUGUGAGGGGACUGAAUGCCAUGCAGUGCCACUAGCCACUCCUGAGCUUUUCAGUUCCCAUUUAAGAAGAGACAUCUCAUCCCAGGAGCUGCAGGGCAAACUCCCUCUCCACACACAGAGGAACAUGAUGUUGCUAGGCAAGGGCAGGACAGAGCAGGAAAAGUGCAAGACCUUAGCCACUUGCUGCAAGAAAAUCCAGAAACACCCCUGUUUUCUUGUACCCUGACUGCCACACUGAGUAUCUUAAAAAGAAGACAAGGCAGAGCAAGUAGUCCAGCCUGACACAUCAUUGGCUUUGUGCUCAACUAAAUGAAGUCAGAAUUCAGACCUCUUAUAGCAGAGCAUUGUGGAGGGGUUCUUUUGCUCCAGUCAGUUUUCAUCAGGAGUGGCUUAUCAGACAUAAAAAGCUGUAAAUGAUUGUUGGUGUUUCAAAGCAGAAAUUCUCCUUUGAAAAGAACAUGUCCCACAUGCUGGCAUGAAAUAUUUCCCUCAAGACAAUAUGUUACAGUCCUUAAGAAAUCAUCAUCAGUAUCAGUAAGGCAGCAGGGGGAAAAAAGCAAUAUGAAGACACACCUGGUGUGGUGGUCACACAGUUUUUUUGGGUAACCUUCUGUGUUCUGCCAGUGGUAUCACUGCUUUAUUUGCAAGGAGCCAUCCAUUUCACCCAAAGAAAGUGAUCUCAUUUUAAAGCAGAAGCAUCUGUUUAGAGCUGCAGUCCUCAGUGUUUCUCAAGAAACGGUUGAAACUGUCAGCAUUUUAGGAAAGCUAGAGGUAUUGCAGCCAUUUCCUAUCAGAUGCUGUCUUUCUAAGUAUGCAGAGUAAUAUGACAUUUGAACAGAUGAGGUUAAAUGCUAAAUCUGACUUGAUUAAUGCUGAUGGAAACACAAUGCUCAGUACUCUAUGCAAAAUUAUGGUUUGAAUGAAAAUUUCAUGUUAAAUAAGUCAUAAUGUAUCAAUUUAGAACUGUUAAAUGUGAUACUGUUUUAACAUAACACAUUUCAAAACUGAGUGUCAUUCUGAGAUAAGCAGAGAUGUUCCAGUUCUGUAAAUUUAUAAAUGUUGUUGUUACUGGUGUUCUUUCUCUGUACUUUUUGAAUCCAUUUCCAUCAGAAAAUUCUGUGUGGGAAAUAAAUUGAGAAAAUUA
ensembl:lncRNA